AGCUUAGUGUUUUUUUAUAUUAAGUAAUUUCUGCCCAGUGAAUUUUAAAUGGCCGCGGUAUCUUGACCGUGCAAAGGUAGCAUAAUCAUUUGCCUUUUUAUUGGGGGCUAGAAUGAAAGAAAAAAUGAGAGUGUAGCUGUCUCUAUUACAAAAUAAAAAUUGCUGGUUUUGUGAAGAAGCAAAAGUCUUAAAAAAAGACAAGAAGACCCUGCUAAGCUUCACUUUUAGGUUUUUGUUUUUUAUCUUAAAAGAAUAAAAAACAAAACCACGUUAGUUUGGUUGGGGUGACUAAAAAGAAUAAGAUCCUUUUUGUAUAGAUAUACGUUAGGUUUAAUAAAGAGCCAUGUUUUUUGAUUUAUAGAACAAGUUACUACAGGGAUAACAGCGUAAUUUUUUCAGAGAGUUCUUAUUGACGAAAAAGAUUGCGACCUCGAUGUUGACUUGUUGUUUCCUGAGAAGGUGUAGAAGCUUUGAGGGUUAGUCUGUUCGACUAUUAAAAUAAU
rnacentral:rRNA from 1 species